AGCCCAGUUUAAGUCUCCCAGCUCUACGUGAACUAGCUCUAACUACAGCGGUACUGACCCGAGCUAACUCCAGAGGCAUUCCAGAUGCAGAAUUUGAUGAUCUUGACCCAGCUGGAAUAGAAAGGUCAAAAGGUCAGGAUUGAGAGACAAAUGUUGGCACUGAUGCCAAAGUACUGUAUAUCAGAGAGAGUCAAAAAACAACUCAAGUUACUGGAGUUUGACGAGUCGACUCAGGGAAAGGACUUAAGUUCGGAAAUUCGCGGUGGUAUUUUUAGAAGUGUCCUCCAAUGUGACCUCCUAUUGUCGAGCUGUCAUCUCAACCUCAGGACAAACCUCACAGUUUUCUAGAUUUCUGUUUCGGUCGAGUCUGGAUGAAGCCCUUGCUAGAGACCUAGGAAGUAC